CGCUGGGAAACGCAGGCUAAAUUUGCGCCAUCCUGGCGCAGCGCCUGCAUGACCCACAUCCUGUAGG
rfam:Bacillus galactosidilyticus strain PL133 scaffold000128, whole genome shotgun sequence.